rnacentral:misc_RNA from 1 species
AAGUCGUAACAAGGUUUCCGUAGGUGAACCUGCGGAAGGAUCAUUAUUACGUAUCCAACGUAUAAACCAAAUGUGAACUGUUUCCGCUCAGCUCUAGAGUUAAUGGCAUCAUUACGCUUUAAUACCUCCGUGUUAGUGAUAGCAGGGUUAAUUCCUUGCUAGGAGGUUAGUAGUCUUGCCGCCGAGGAGCCUUUGCGCUCUGAGGGACUUUGUUGCUGAGGCCGGUAUUUCAAUCACUAACAUUUACUAUUAUUAACCCUUUGAACUAAUUAUUGAACUAAUCAUGUUUCUAGCCUUGGUGACCCAUUUAUUUGGGCUUGCUGGCUUGAAAUUAUUUACUUAACUUGAACAACUCUUAGCAACGGAUAUCUUGGCUCUC